CAUAACUCAUGAGCUUUGCGAUUCUACAGUUUUGUAAAGUAAAAAUAAUAUUAUCAUUUAUGAUGGGCUCAGUGUAACAACAAAUAACAAGGCAAGUCCAGAAAAUGACUUUAAGAUAGUUUCGAAUAAAGCAAUAAUUAAUGUUACAUAAUUUGGUGCAACAAUAAUACAAGUCCAUCUAUCCACUUAUUACGGAGAAAAUAUUGAUGUGGACUUGUCUGGUUAUAAUCGAAUUUUGGUCAAAAAGAUUACCUUCCCAUAGAUAUUUACGGUUUUUUUUUCUCUCAACUGAAAGGUUUUGAAUAGUGGACUUGGCUUGGUUAAUUUUCCUGAACAAUUUCGAAAAGUGGUCUUGUUUUGUUGUUGCACUGGUCACUUUAUAUAGAAUUUAUUAAAAUAGACACAUUUUUACAUAUUACGUAAUAAAUGUGUAUACACGAGUUUUUAUUU